rnacentral:rRNA from 1 species
UUGCUUGGUCGGAUCAGUGGCGAACGGGUGAGUAACACGUGAGUAACCUGCCCCAGACUCUGGGAUAACUUCGGGAAACCGGAGCUAAUACCGGAUAUGACACUCGCACGCAUGUGCUGGGUGUGGAAAGUUUUUCGGUCUGGGAUGGGCUCGCGGCCUAUCAGCUUGUUGGUGAGGUAGUGGCUCACCAAGGCGACGACGGGUAGCCGGCCUGAGAGGGCGACCGGCCACACUGGGACUGAGACACGGCCCAGACUCCUACGGGAGGCAGCAGUGGGGAAUAUUGCACAAUGGGCGCAAGCCUGAUGCAGCGACGCCGCGUGAGGGAUGACGGCCUUCGGGUUGUAAACCUCUUUCAGCAGGGAAGAAGCGAAAGUGACGGUACCUGCAGAAGAAGCACCGGCUAACUACGUGCCAGCAGCCGCGGUAAUACGUAGGGUGCGAGCGUUGUCCGGAAUUAUUGGGCGUAAAGAGCUUGUAGGUGGUUUGUCGCGUCUGCUGUGAAAAUCCGGGGCUCACCCCCGGACUUGCAGUGGGUACGGGCAGACUAAAGUGUGGUAGGGGAGACUGGAAUUCCUGGUGUAGCGGUGGAAUGCGCAAAUAUCAGGAGGAACACCGAUGGCGAAGGCAGGUCUCUGGGGCCUUUACUGACACUGAGAAGCAAAGCAUGGGGAGCGAACAGGAUUAAAUACCCUGGUAGUCCAUGCCGUAAACGUUGGGAACUA